rnacentral:rRNA from 1 species
ACGAACGCUGGCGGCAUGCCUAACACAUGCAAGUCGAACGAGACCUUCGGGUCCAGUGGCGCACGGGUGCGUAACGCGUGGGAACCUGCCCUUAGGUUCGGAAUAACUCCCCGAAAGGGGUGCUAAUACCGGAUAAUGUCUUCGGACCAAAGAUUUAUCGCCUUUGGAUGGGCCCGCGUUGGAUUAGCUAGUUGGUAGGGUAAAAGCCUACCAAGGCGACGAUCCAUAGCUGGUCUGAGAGGAUGAUCAGCCACACUGGGACUGAGACACGGCCCAGACUCCUACGGGAGGCAGCAGUGGGGAAUAUUGGACAAUGGGCGAAAGCCUAUCCAGCAAUGCCGCGUGAGUGAUGAAGGCCUUAGGGUUGUAAAGCUCUUUUACCCGGGAUGAUAAUGACAGUACCGGGAGAAUAAGCUCCGGCUAACUCCGUG